GGUUUGGCACCUCGAUGUCGGCUCAUCGCAUCCUGGGGCUGUAGUCGGUCCCAAGGGUUGGGCUGUUCGCCCAUUAAAGCGGUACGCGAGCUGGGUUCAGAACGUCGUGAGACAGUUCGGUCCCUAUCCGUCGUGGGCGUAGGAAAUUUGAGAGGAGCUGUCCUUAGUACGAGAGGACCGGGAUGGACAUACCUCUGGUGUACCAGUUGUCGUGCCAACGGCAUAGCUGGGUAGCUAUGUGUGGACGGGAUAAGUGCUGAAAGCAUCUAAGCAUGAAGCCCCCCUCAAGAUGAGAUUUCCCAACUUCGGUUAUAAGAUCCCUCAAAGAUGAUGAGGUUAAUAGGUUCGAGGUGGAAGCAUGGUGACAUGUGGAGCUGACGAAUACUAAUCGAUCGAAGACUUAAUCAA
rnacentral:rRNA from 49 species